CCAGACUCCUACGGGAGGCAGCAGUGGGGAAUAUUGGGCAAUGGGCACAAGCCUGACCCAGCAACGCCGCGUGAAGGAAGAAGGCUUUCGGGUUGUAAACUUCUUUUGACAGGGAAGAGUAGAAGACGGUACCUGUCGAAUAAGCCACGGCUAACUACGUGCCAGCAGCCGCGGUAAUACGUAGGUGGCAAGCGUUGUCCGGAUUUACUGGGUGUAAAGGGAGCGUAGGCGGCCUGCCAAGUCUGAUGUGAAAUACCGGGGCUCAACCCCGGGGCUGCAUUGGAAACUGGCAGGCUGGAGUGCAGGAGAGGUAAGUGGAAUUCCUAGGGGAGCGGUGAAAUGCGUAG
rnacentral:rRNA from 1 species